GGCUGCCCCCUUUCCCAAAGCUCUCUCCUUUAUCUCAUCCACUCAACACCCAUCAAUCCCAAAUCCUUGCAAGGUCACAAAAUUAAACCUCACACCACUCAAUCUCUCUCUUACACCAACGAAUCUCGCCGGAUUAUUUCCUCUUUCAUCAUUUGAUUCGAAAUUUCCAAAUCUGAAACCCUAGGCUCAAAGAGGAAAUCGUCUGAUUUCUUCUUUGCCCUUUCUAAUCAAGCAUGCAUGGCAAUCCAUCUUGUCCCUAUACCGUGAAUCCUAUUUUUUUCAUUUGCAUUUCCAUCGAUAAAAUUCAUAAGCCCCAAUUUGAAAACCCUAGACCCAAAAAUAAAACCUCAAAUCGUCUGAGUCCCUCUUAUGUUCUUUCAAAUCGGAGGCAUGCAUGAAGGUUUCACAGGCUUCAUCAUUGUUAUUCGAUAUCUAGAGGUCAAACGCAGUGACCUAUAGUCACUGAAGCUUUAACCGAUGGUCUUUCGAUUCAACGGUCGAUUUCUUUUCUCAAGUAAAACCCCUCACCAUUUUCCCUCUAUUUUCUCUGAUUUUACCUGUCUUGCUAUCAUCAUCUACUCUUCGUCAUCUUUCACUAUCUAAAUUCAAAUCUGUCGAAACACUAAGACGUUAAUGGCCACUAUAAAUAGGAUCCUUAAUUGCUCACCUUAAAAAAUCAACAACACCUAAGAGAAUCGAAUACAAUUUAAAGAAAGAAAGAAAAGAAAAGCUUUAGAUUUCCUCACUGAUUUUCACUUUCUCUUUUCCUUCUUUGGUUCAGAGUUCGUUUAUUGUUCGGGCUUGAGUUUGGAUUCCUAAACGGCUAAACGAAGCUUUUGUUUGGUUUGCUGCUCCGUAGAAGGUCAGUGUACACUGACCCUCCCUUU
rnacentral:lncRNA from 1 species